GGCUCUGUAGCUCAGUUGGUAGAGCGCACGACUGAAAAUUGUGAGGUCACGGGAUCGACGCCCGUCGGAGCCA
rnacentral:tRNA from 9 species